rnacentral:tRNA from 1 species
GGACUCGAACCCAGUACCCUCGCUUCAAACGCCAUCGCGUUAUCCACUCGGCCAAUUAGAGACUGACCAGUUGCAGUCCUAACACAUCGAUGGGAAGAUUCAAACAAACAAUACUAAGUUGAAUUUAUUUUAUUAUUUCUUCAUAAUUUAUCAUUUCAUAAGCAACCAAUGUAUUUUAAUCAUGUACAAUUAAAGAAAUACAUUAUAUGAUCUGGUCACACACACACACAUGAAGCUGAGUUUUUUCUUUAAUUUAAGCUAUAAGUUAGGCUACCGACUCAACGUCUGUUCUAGUUCUUAAAUUCCAUGAAGAUAUAAUAUUCUGUCAUUAAUUGGUUUUCUGUCAUUCAUUUCUAUUGUUCUGAGUUUCUUCACUUACUUCUAGACAGAUAAAAGUAUAGUAUAAAAGCAAUGAAGCGCCAAGAAUUGAUCA